GUGAGCUCCAUUUCCCAUCAUGGAGAGUCAGAGAGUCCAGUCCUCGUACAGGAAGCGUUACGGGCCUCAGGGCUCCGGCAGCACAGGAGUCAGAAUUGGGAGCCUUUCUUCCAGCCGCCUCUCCUGGCAUGGCACCCCCCGCAACUUCACCCACUCCAGCCCUGUGUCGCGGAUCUCCUUGGGCUCAACGGGCCUGCUCCUGGGCAGCACCAUGGACCGGCUGGAUUUCCCAGCUGAAUCCCUGAUGAAGGCCCAGUACAAGGAGACGCGCACCAACGAGAAGGUGGAGAUGAUGGGCCUGAAUGACCGUUUUGCCAGCUACAUAGAGAAGGUGCGCCUGUUGGAGCAGCAGAACAAGGUGCUGGUGCAGGAGCUGAACCAGCUGAAGGUGAGGGAGCCCAGCCGCAUGGGAGACAUCUACCAGGAGGAGCUGAGAGAGCUGCGCAGACAGGUGGACGGACUCACUUCUGGCAAAGCUCGGCUGGAGAUAGAGAAGGACAACCUGGCUGCAGAUGUGACCAUGCUCAAGCAGAGGUUGCAAGAUGAGAUGGGUCUCCGACAGGAUGCAGAAAACAAUUUGAAUGCCUACAGACAGGAUGUGGAUGAAGCUUCUCUUAAUCGUGUCCAUUUAGAGAGGAAAAUCGAUGCCAUGCAGGAUGAGAUAAACUUCUUGAGGAAGACUCAUGAGGAGGAUCUGCGUGAGUUACAGGAGCAGCUCAUGGCCCAGCAGGUGCAUGUUGACCUUGAUGUAUCCAAACCAGACCUGACUGCUGCUCUGAGGGACAUCCGGGUCCAGUAUGAAACCAUGGCAACCUCCAACAUGCAGGAGACCGAGGAUUGGUACCGCUCCAAGUUUGCUGACCUGACAGACGCAGCCAAUCGAAACGCAGAAGCCCUGCGCCAGGCCAAGCAGGAGGCCAAUGAAUACCGGCGUCAGGUCCAAGUGCUGACCUGCGAUGUUGAGGCUCUACGAGGAACAAACGAGUCUCUGGAACGUCAGCUCCGGGAGAUGGACGACCGCUUCGCCAUGGAGACUUCUGGUUACCAGGAUAGAGUGAGCCGUCUGGAGGACGACAUCCACUCGCUGAAGGACGAGAUGGCCAGACACCUGCAGGAGUACCAGGACCUCCUCAACGUCAAGCUGGCCCUGGACAUCGAGAUCGCCACCUACAGGAAGCUGCUGGAGGGAGAGGAGAGCCGGAUCACCAUUCCAGUUCAGAGCUUUUCUAACCUGCAGUUUAGAGAAACUAACCUGGACACUAAAACCCCCGAGGCCCACGUGAAGAGGAGCAUCUUGGUUCGAACCGUGGAGACUAGAGAUGGGGAGGUAUGAGCUUCUACAGAACAUUCCACUGAAGCAAACAAAACGGCACAUUGCACCUCUCACCUUACCCUCUGGAGGGCAAUGUUGAACCCUUCUGCAGAUCAUUAAGGAAUCAACAACUGAACACAAAGAUCUUCCUUAAAGUUCGACUUGUCUCAAUCUGGGAUUAUUACUUAUUUGUUUUGUUUCCAAACCCCAAAGCUCCCCCAUCAGUGCAUCAUUUCAUGUUUCUCUCCUUUCUUCAUCACCUGCAUGCUAAUCUAUUCAACAACCCAUGACUUAACUAUUAAACUCUCCUAGACUUCCUCAUUAGAAUUUCUGCAAAAAGCAUUUAUGUUCAGCUCUUAUACAGCUGUUGGCAGGAUGUAAGUCACUCAUAUUAAAAUGGUAUGUACCAUUUUGUUCUGUUCCAGUGAAAACUCCGGGAUACCACUGGCAACCUGUUUAAUUUUAAGUUUUUAGCACGGUUUCAGAUUAGCUGCCAUAGAGAAGGCAUUAAAACGUAGCAAUUGUUUUAAGCUAAUAUGUAGCAUGGUCGAGGUUGACAUGUUAUGAGUAUGUGAAAUGUGGCAAGGGAAGUACCAGAGGGAGUUUGGGUUUGCAGACACCAGAAUUGGAUAGCGGUGGGAAAUAAGAGUUGUGUGUAUGUUAGAGCAUCUUUUGGCUGAAGGACAGGUGAAUUUGGGCUCUUUUUUUUUUUAUUUAUGCCUGGUGCUAUUUUGCAUUUGAUUCCUUUGUUGGAGCAGCAGUCGCCUCUGCUUGUGUGUUAAAGCUUGUAUAGCCUGCACAGGUGUUUCAAUGAGUACAUCUCACUUCGGGCUGAUUACACGUGUGCUUAGAUAGGAGACGAGUGGAAAUCAUCAAACAGAUAAUGUGUUGAUGUUACUUUUUCACUUUUUACAACCACAAACCUCUCUCGAGCCAAACAGUCUGCUAUGGCUGCUUUUGAUGGGUACAUUUGUAAAAAGACAGGAGAUUAACAACAAAUGUGUGGCAUGACAGUCAGUGUUCUGUAGACAUUAGAGCUGCGACAGUUAGUCGAACAAUAAGUUGCAGCCGUAGUAAACAUUUACUAAAUCGUAAAGACAGAAACAGCUGACAGGCAAUCGAGAUAAAACCACUGCAGAGUCUAUAUUGAUCAAAGCUUUGAUGUUUGCUGUGAGUUUUUGACAGAAUUGAUUUCAGCACCAUUCAGUCGUUUUAUUUAAAAGAAACAGUGUUGACUGACAGUUGCUGAAUGUUUGCAUCUUCUCUACAGAGGACGCUGAUCUUGGCAUCCAUAUUCUGUGAUGUUACAUACAUAUAAAAGGUGUCCCAUCAACAGGUGCAACAAAACUCACAACAGACGAGUGUGUGAAAACCUACGCAGUCCUGAGAGGAAGUCUCAUGAGCCAAAAUAAACAGCUGUGAGUGUGUUUAUACUUUCUCCCUCACCUUCUGCUCUUCUGCCUUCUCCAUUCAUCGCAGCUGUUGGUAUCCUUUGUCUCUCACACAACCUGAUAAGACAUUAUUUGACACAAGGAUGCUUCAGAGCAUUAUCAAGCAAGUGUGAUAGGGACAGAGCCAGGUUGGAGGUGUGGAGAAACUGUUUGGAUACUGACUUGUCCUCCAGCCUCCAAUAAAUCUCCUCCAAAUUCCCAGGCCAAUUUCUGUUGUGUUUGACUGAUAGCAGCGAGAGAGUGCUUUGGAGAUGACCUCCAACAAAUCCCAAAGCAGUAGAAACUAUAAUGUUUGUGAAGUGAGGAUGCUGGGGUUGGAAGUAAAAGGAGGCUGUGAGGGAGGACGAUUGAUUGACUUUUCCCGCAAAAACACUGUAAUCCAUGCUUCCUGCCUGGUUAGAAGUCACGCUGACUGAAGCCGUGUUGCUGACAGCCGGCCUCGCCUCUAAUGAGUGCUGCUACACUGAAGCUGGUUGUUGCUGUGUUCGUUGCCAAGGACACGCUGUGAUUUGAGUUGUGCCUCCCACCCUCUCCCCUCCACAACUUCCACUGCUGUCACUCAACCCCUUCUCCCAAUAACAUGCAGAUUUCUACUGUAUUCCUUCUUUGUUUUUUUAAUAUUGAUCUUAGAUGGAUGAAUCCUGCAUAUUCUUAUGGAAGAAACAUCUGCAGAUGGAAAUAUAACAUUAGUAUUAACCGAUGCUACGUAAUGUUUACUUAACAAGAAUAAAACAUUUUGUCUGUUAGA